AUUCCUACGGGAGGCAGCAGUGGGGAAUCUUGGACAAUGGGGGCAACCCUGAUCCAGCCAUGCCGCGUGAGUGAUGAAGGCCUUAGGGUCGUAAAGCUCUUUCGCCUGUGAUGAUAAUGACAGUAGCAGGUAAAGAAACCCCGGCUAACUCCGUGCCAGCAGCCGCGGUAAUACGGAGGGGGUUAGCGUUGUUCGGAAUUACUGGGCGUAAAGCGCGCGUAGGCGGAUUAGUCAGUUAGAGGUGAAAUCCCAGGGCUCAACCCUGGAACUGCCUUUAAUACUGCUAGUCUUGAGUUCGAGAGAGGUGAGUGGAAUUCCGAGUGUAGAGGUGAAAUUCGUAGAUAUUCGGAGGAACACCAGUGGCGAAGGCGGCUCACUGGCUCGAUACUGACGCUGAGGUGCGAAAGUGUGGGGAGCAAACAGGAUUAGAUACCCUGGUAGUCCACACCGUAAACGAUGAAUGCCAGUCGUCGGCAAGCAUGCUUGUCGGUGACACACCUAACGGAUUAAGCAUUCCGCCUGGGGAGUACGGUCGCAAGAUUAAAACUCAAAGGAAUUGACGGAAU
rnacentral:rRNA from 1 species